GACGAACCGAGCGAACGUUAUUCGGAAUCACUGGGCUUAAAGGGCGCGUAGGCGGGCGGCCAAGUCAGGGGUGAAAGCCCCCAGCUCAACUGGGGAAGUCCCUCUGAUACUGGUCAUCUCGAGGGAGAUAGGGGCGUGCGGAACUUCCGGUGGAGCGGUGAAAUGCGUAGAUAUCGGAAGGAACACCGGUGGCGAAAGCGGCGCGCUGGAUCUCUUCUGACGCUGAGGCGCGAAAGCCAGGGGAGCGAACGGG
rnacentral:rRNA from 1 species